CGUAGCGGCCUUGUUGACGCCGCAAGGGUACCCUCUAGGAAUGGUUGAAUCUAGCGGUUGCUUCUUAGCUGCUAAUUAGACCGAUGUAUCCCUGAAUAAAAUGGAGUUUCCUUGGAUUAAAUGGAAAUUUCCUUCAUUUUCUCUAGCGGCCAAUGUUGAGGCAGCUAGAAGAGGCCGCUACAGAUAGGUGAAUCUAGCAGUCUAGGUAGAGGCCGCUAGGAGCUCCUCCAACUCUUAAUUCUUCAUUUUGUUUACUACAUCUCUCUAAAUGAUCCAUUUUUCUUAAGUUCCUUGUUCAAAGGUUCCACAAUGCAAAUGCAGGUUAAAUGGACAAAUACAUUAAAAUAACAAAACUAAAAUUAUGCAAA
rnacentral:lncRNA from 1 species